GAUGAACGCUAGCUACCGGUUUAACACAUGCAAGUCGAGGGGCAGCAUGAACUUAGCUUGCUAAGUUUGAUGGCGACCGGCGCACGGGUGAGUAACACGUAUCCAACCUGCCGAUGACUCGGGGAUAGCCUUUCGAAAGAAAGAUUAAUACCCGAUGGCAUAGUUCUUCCGCAUGGUGGAACUAUUAAAGAAUUUCGGUCAUCGAUGGGGAUGCGUUCCAUUAGGUUGUUGGCGGGGUAACGGCCCACCAAGCCUUCGAUGGAUAGGGGUUCUGAGAGGAAGGUCCCCCACAUUGGAACUGAGACACGGUCCAAACUCCUACGGGAGGCAGCAGUGAGGAAUAUUGGUCAAUGGACGAGAGUCUGAACCAGCCAAGUAGCGUGAAGGAUGACUGCCCUAUGGGUUGUAAACUUCUUUUAUACGGGAAUAAAGUGAGGCACGUGUGCCUUUUUGUAUGUACCGUAUGAAUAAGGAUCGGCUAACUCCGUGCCAGCAGCCGCGGUAAUACGGAGGAUCCGAGCGUUAUCCGGAUUUAUUGGGUUUAAAGGGAGCGUAGGCGGACGCUUAAGUCAGUUGUGAAAGUUUGCGGCUCAACCGUAAAAUUGCAGUUGAUACUGGGUGUCUUGAGUACAGUAGAGGCAGGCGGAAUUCGUGGUGUAGCGGUGAAAUGCUUAGAUAUCACGAAGAACUCCGAUUGCGAAGGCAGCUUGCUGGACUGUAACUGACGCUGAUGCUCGAAAGUGU
rnacentral:rRNA from 1 species